rnacentral:lncRNA from 1 species
UGGUUUUGUAAAAUCUCUUUCCGUCCCUGCCCUGCCCGGGAGAGGCAGAACCCGAGGGAGCGGGCUGUCGGAGCGCAGCCCGGGCUGGGGCCGGCCCAGCCGAGAGGAGCCGCACCGGGGCUCUCCGGCCGCGAGAAGGGGCGCAGCGGCUCGGCCUCGGCAGCGCCCGGCAAGACGUUCCUCGGCUUGUUCUGCUUUCAAAGCAGGGCAGCUAGCCCGAGCUCUGCGACCCCUGCGGCUGCCGCACUCCGUGCUGGAGCGUCGGAGUUUUCCCGACACAUUUUUGUUCGUCUUAUUCGGUCGAACGAGAUCCAUGCAAAAAUUGAGGAAACAUUAUCCCGGAGAGAACGCGUGAUUAGGGCUGUGGCUGGAAUUUCAUUGCCGGCUGUGAGCAGCCUAGCCCAGGCUCACCGGCUGUGUGGCCGCAGCCUGAGGUGGGCACCGCAGGGACCGCCGUCUCUCGGCUCCCACCUGGGGUGGGGGUUGAGUCCUGCCCGUCCCCGGACUCGGCGGUCAGCACCGGGCGUGCUCCGCCGCCAGCACCUGCCGGCGCCCGGCUUGCGCAGGAUGCGCAUCCCGGCGGGGCUCCGGCAGCGCCUCGGCCCCGGCUCUCGGUGGCCGCGGUCAGCUGUUCGCCAUUUAUCCCAGUUGGAUAAAUCCGAUGAGGCCUGGCGGGAGCGGGGGGCCAGUGGACCGAGACGGCGAGGUGGGCGGCAGAGAUCCGGCCGAUCCUUCUGUCAGGCAACGAAAUCUUGGCCGCUCAGCGGGACUGGUUUAAAAUUCAGCCGUGAGGUGGAGGCAGGUGUUCGCAUCGCUCCCUGCGAGAUGGCCGGUGGCGGGCGGAGGGCGAGGGACUGCGGAUUUGUAGCUGCAAAUCAUUCACGCCGGCUUUGCCCGCUCCACAAAAUCACACGGGCAUCUACCUCUUCCCAAGCGCUGUUCCCUACCCUUUUGGGGCUAAAGGCUAGGGGAUUUGCACUGAGAGAAAGAGCCAAACAGAGCUGGCACCCGCUUCAAUUAAAAAUCUGCCUUCCCGGUGGGAGAUGCUGA